AACCUACCCUGUACUGGGGAAUAACUCGAAGAAAUUCGGACUAAUACCCCAUAGUGUAAUUGAUAGGCAUCUAUUGAUUAUUAAAGGUUACGGUACGGGAUGGGCAUGCGUUCCAUUAGCUAGUUGGUAUGGUAACGGCAUACCAAGGCUACGAUGGAUAGGGGGCCUGAGAGGGUGAUCCCCCACACUGGAACUGAGACACGGUCCAGACUCCUACGGGAGGCAGCAGUGAGGAAUAUUGGUCAAUGGGCGCAAGCCUGAGCCAGCCAUGCCGCGUGCAGGAAGAAUGUCCUAUGGAUUGUAAACUGCUUUUAUUUAGGAAUAGACCUCUUUACGUGUAUAGAGCUGAAGGUACUAAAAGAAUAAGCACCGGCUAACUCCGUGCCAGCAGCCGCGGUAAUACGGAGGGUGCAAGCGUUAUCCGGAAUCAUUGGGUUUAAAGGGUCCGCAGGCGGAAAUGUAAGUCAGAGGUGAAAUCCGGCAGCUCAACUGUCGCAUUGCCUUUGAUACUGUGUUUCUUGAAUUUUAAUGGAGUGGGCGGAAUAUGUCAUGUAGCGGUGAAAUGCUUAGAUAUGACAUGGAACACCGAUAGCGAAGGCAGCUCACUAAUUAUGAAUUGACGCUCAUGGACGAAAGCGUGGGUAGCAAACAGGAUUAGAUACCCUGGUAGUCCACGCCGUAAACGAUGAU
rnacentral:rRNA from 1 species